rnacentral:rRNA from 1 species
GAUGAACGCUGGCGGCGUGCCUAAUACAUGCAAGUCGAGCGAACAGACGAGGAGCUUGCUCCUCUGACGUUAGCGGCGGACGGGUGAGUAACACGUGGAUAACCUACCUAUAAGACUGGGAUAACUUCGGGAAACCGGAGCUAAUACCGGAUAAUAUAUUGAACCGCAUGGUUCAAUAGUGAAAGACGGUUUUGCUGCCACUUAUAGAUGGAUCCGCGCCGCAUUAGCUAGUUGGUAAGGUAACGGCUUACCAAGGCAACGAUGCGUAGCCGACCUGAGAGGGUGAUCGGCCACACUGGAGCUGAGACACGGUCCAGACUCCUACGGGAGGCAGCAGUAGGGAAUCUUCCGCAAUGGGCGAAAGCCUGACGGAGCAACGCCGCGUGAGUGAUGAAGGUCUUCGGAUCGUAAAACUCUGUUAUUAGGGAAGAACAAAUGUGUAAGUAACUAUGCACGUCUUGACGGUACCUAAUCAGAAAGCCACGGCUAACUACGUG